AUCUAUAGCUAGACCACCCUGAACAUGCCUGAUCCCAGUUGAUCUUGGAAACUAAGCAGGGUUGGGCCUAGUUAGAACUUGGAUGGGAGACCACCUGGGAAUGCUGGGUGCUGUAAGCU
ensembl:rRNA 5S_rRNA 5S ribosomal RNA